GGGCGGUUAGCUCAGCGGGAGAGCAUCGGCCUUACAAGCCGGGGGUCACAGGUUCAAAUCCUGUACCGCCCA
rfam:Deltaproteobacteria bacterium RIFCSPLOWO2_12_FTLL_60_19 rifcsplowo2_12_scaffold_555, whole genome shotgun sequence.